UUUCCGUAGGUGAACCUGCGGAAGGAUCAUUAUUGUAUAACCGAGGUGCGAGGGCUGUCGCUGACCCGAAAGGUCGUGCACGCCCGAGUGCCCUCACACACAUCCAUCUCACCCCUAUGUGCACCACCGCGUGGGUCCCCCUUUGGCUUGUUCGGAGGGGGGCUUACGUUUUCACACAAACGAUGUAUGCAGUGUAGAAUGUAUUUUUUGUUUUUGCGAUCACGCAAUCAAUACAACUUUCAACAACGGAUCUCUUGGCUCUC
rnacentral:misc_RNA from 1 species